rfam:Hordeum vulgare subsp. vulgare, WGS project CAJW01000000 data, contig: morex_contig_128220
UUAGUACUCCCGUCCCAAAAUUCUUGUCUUAGGUUUGUCUAGAAAUAAAUCUAUUUAAAUACUAAAAUUUGACUAGAUACAUUUAUAUCUAGACAAAUCUAAGACAAGAAUUUUGGGACGGGGAGGGAGUACAAU